GUCUCACUUCGGCAGCACAUAUAAUAAAAUUGGAACAAUACAGAGAAGAUUAUCAUGACCCUUGCGCAAGGAUGAUAUGCAAAUUCGUGAAAUGUUCCAUAUUUUU
ensembl:snRNA U6 U6 spliceosomal RNA